UUGGGCGUGGUGUAUGGAACACCGCGGGCAUUCUUACUGUUCUCGUCAUGAACUAACUCGCAGUCCGGGGUUCGACUCCCCGCGUCCGAA